rnacentral:rRNA from 1 species
CUACGGGAUGCAGCAGUGAGGAAUAUUGGUCAAUGGGCGCGAGCCUGAACCAGCCAUCCCGCGUGCAGGAUGACGGCCCUAUGGGUUGUAAACUGCUUUUCUAUGCCAAGAAACCUGAUUACGUGUAAUCAGUUGCCGGUAGCAUAGGAAUAAGCAUCGGCUAACUCCGUGCCAGCAGCCGCGGUAAUACGGAGGAUGCAAGCGUUAUCCGGAUUCAUUGGGUUUAAAGGGUGCGCAGGUGGGCUUGUAAGUCAGUGGUGAAAUGCUGCCGCUUAACGGUAGAACUGCCAUUGAUACUGCGAGUCUUGAGUAUGGUUGAGGUAGGCGGAAUGUGUUGUGUAGCGGUAAAAUGCAUAGAUAUGACACAGAACGCCAAUUGCGAAGGCAGCUUACUAAGCCAUUACUGACGCUGAGGCACGAAAGCGUGGGGAGCGAACAGGAUUAGAUACCCUCGUAGUC